rnacentral:rRNA from 1 species
CCAGACUCCUACGGGAGGCAGCAGUGGGGAAUAUUGCACAAUGGGGGAAACCCUGAUGCAGCGACGCCGCGUGGGUGACGAAGUAUUUCGGUAUGUAAAGCCCUAUCAGCAGGGAAGAAGAUGACAGUACCUGACUAAGAAGCCCCGGCUAACUACGUGCCAGCAGCCGCGGUAAUACGUAGGGGGCAAGCGUUAUCCGGAUUUACUGGGUGUAAAGGGAGCGUAGGUGGCAUGGCAAGCCAGGAGUGAAAGCCCGGGGCCCAACCCCGGGACUGCUCUUGGAACUGCAUGGCUGGAGUACAGGAGGGGCAGGCGGAAUUCCUAGUGUAGCGGUGAAAUGCGUAGAUAUUAGGAGGAACACCGGUGGCGAAGGCGGCCUGCUGGACUGUGACUGACGUUGAGGCCCGAAGGCGUGGGGAGCAAACAGGAUUAGAUACCCCAGUA